rnacentral:piRNA from 1 species
GCCAUCCAUCUCCACAAGGUCUCCACGCCU